AAGUCGUAACAAGGUUUCCGUAGGUGAACCUGCGGAAGGAUCAUUAACACGUAUCCAACGUUAAACAACCCUGUGAACUUUCAGCCUGCUCUUGUAACCAUGAGGAACAGCAAUCCCGGUAAAUCAUUGCAAACAGUUUUGAUUCGGGACCUCUGUCCAAAAGGUGUUACAAUUGAGCGGUAGAGGCAGUGGCAUGGCUUCCCCAAGCAGUUAGUGAAUGACAGUGUCACUGAUUGUGUAAGGAGGUCGAUCACCGACCGGCAGACAUGUCACAGGGUCACCACGCCCCUUAAUCACCCCAAUUUGAAAUUGCUCCUACCUGGUGGUAACGCACUGGGUCAAAAAAACCGAACAACUGUUAACAAUGGAUAUCUUGGUUCUC
rnacentral:misc_RNA from 1 species